rnacentral:rRNA from 1 species
CCUACGGGGGGCUGCAGUGGGGAAUAUUGCGCAAUGGGGGAAACCCUGACGCAGCAACGCCGCGUGAGCGAUGAAGGCCUUCGGGUUGUAAAGCUCUGUCAUUUGGGACGAUAAUGACGGUACCAAAUGAGGAAGCCACGGCUAACUACGUGCCAGCAGCCGCGGUAAUACGUAGGUGGCGAGCGUUGUCCGGAUUUACUGGGUGUAAAGGGUGCGUAGGCGGAUAUUUAAGUCAGAUGUGAAAUACCCGAGCUUAACUUGGGUGCUGCAUUUGAAGCUGGAUGUCUAGAGUACAGGAGAGGAAAGCGGAAUUCCUAGUGUAGCGGUGAAAUGCGUAGAGAUUAGGAAGAACACCGGUGGCGAAGGCGGCUUUCUGGACUGUAACUGACGCUGAGGCACGAAAGCGUGGGGAGCAAACAGGAUUAGAUACCCGUGUAGUC